AUGAACGCUGGCGGCGUGCCUAAUACAUUCAAGUCGAGCGAACAGAUGAGGAGCUUGCUCCUCUGACGUUAGCGGCGGACGGGUGAGUAACACGUGGAUAACCUACCUAUAAGACUGGGAUAACUUCGGGAAACCGGAGCUAAUACCGGAUAAUAUAUUGAACCGCAUGGUUCAAUAGUGAAAGACGGUUUUGCUGUCACUUAUAGAUGGAUCCGCGCCGCAUUAGCUAGUUGGUAAGGUAACGGCUUACCAAGGCAACGAUGCGUAGCCGACCUGAGAGGGUGAUCGGCCACACUGGAACUGAGACACGGUCCAGACUCCUACGGGAGGCAGCAGUAGGGAAUCUUCCGCAAUGGGCGAAAGCCUGACGGAGCAACGCCGCGUGAGUGAUGAAGGUCUUCGGAUCGUAAAACUCUGUUAUUAGGGAAGAACAAAUGUGUAAGUAACUAUGCACGUCUUGACGGUACCUAAUCAGAAAGCCACGGCUAACUACGUG
rnacentral:rRNA from 1 species